rnacentral:rRNA from 1 species
GUUUGAUCCUGGCUCAGGAUGAACGCUAGCUACAGGCUUAACACAUGCAAGUCGAGGGGAAACGAUAUUGAAAGCUUGCUUUCGAUAGGCGUCGACCGGCGCACGGGUGAGUAACGCGUAUCCAACCUGCCCAUAACUAAGGGAUAAUCCGUAGAAAUGCGGUCUAAUACCUUAUGUGAUCCGAGGAAGACAUCUGAUUUGGAUUAAAGAUUUAUCGGUUAUGGAUGGGGAUGCGUCUGAUUAGAUUGUUGGCGGGGCAACGGCCCACCAAGUCUGCGAUCAGUAGGGGUUCUGAGAGGAAGGUCCCCCACAUUGGAACUGAGACACGGUCCAAACUCCUACGGGAGGCAGCAGUGAGGAAUAUUGGUCAAUGGGCGGGAGCCUGAACCAGCCAAGUAGCGUGCAGGAUGACGGCCCUAUGGGUUGUAAACUGCUUUUGUAUGGGGAUAAAUUGCUCCACGUGUGGAGUAUUGCAGGUACCAUACGAAUAAGGACCGGCUAAUUCCGUGCCAGCAGCCGCGGUAAUACGGAAGGUCCGGGCGUUAUCCGGAUUUAUUGGGUUUAAAGGGAGCGUAG